rnacentral:lncRNA from 1 species
UAUGAAAUAGAUGCUUUAGUUUGGGGCAAUAACCGACAGAGAUAACUGUGAGUUUUGGGAAACAAACAGGUUGGAGAUGAUCCUCAUCCUCAUCCUCAUCAAUGAUUUGCUCUAAUUCCAAGCAAUCUUGAAUUUCCAGCUUCUCCAAUUGCAACAGAUUUCGAGCAAGUGUUGAUGAGAAAAGACGUCUCAGCAUAUUGCACCCGUCCACUCUUAAAUAGGUAAGACUUUGCAGGCUAAAAUUAUGCGUGGGACCUACAGGUUGGAGAUGAUCCUCAUCCUCAUCCUCAUCAAUGAUUUGCUCUAGUUCCAAGCAAUCAUGAAUUUCCAACUCCUCCAAUUGCAACAGAUUUCGAGCAAGUGUUGAUGAGAAGAGACGUCUCAGCAUAGUGCAACCGUCCACUCUUAAAUAGGUAAGACUUUGCAGGCUAAAAUUAUGCGUGGGACCUACGUGAUA